UACGUAGGGUGCGAGCGUUAAUCGGAAUUACUGGGCGUAAAGCGUGCGCAGGCGGUGAUGUAAGACCGAUGUGAAAUCCCCGGGCUUAACCUGGGAACUGCAUUGGUGACUGCAUCGCUCGAGUAUGGCAGAGGGGGUAGAAUUCCACGUGUAGCAGUGAAAUGCGUAGAGAUGUGGAGGAAUACCGAUGGCGAAGGCAGCCCC
rnacentral:rRNA from 1 species